GGAUUGCCANUGGGCGCAGCCUGAUGCAGCGACGCCGCGUGGGGGAUGACGGCCUUCGGGUUGUAAACCUCUUUCACCAUCGACGAAGGCCCGGUUUCGGCUGGGUUGACGGUAGGUGGAGAAGAGGCACCGGCCAACUACGUGCCAGCAGCCGCGGUAAUACGUAGGGUGCGAGCGUUGUCCGGAAUUACUGGGCGUAGAGAGCUCGUAGGUGGUUUGUCGCGUUGUUCGUGAAAUUCCCUGGCUUAACUGGGGGCGUGCGGGCGAUACGGGCAGACUGGAGUACUGCAGGGGAGACUGGAAUUCCUGGUGUAGCGGUGGAAUGCGCAGAUAUCAGGAGGAACACCGGUGGCGAAGGCGGGUCUCUGGGCAGUAACUGACGCUGAGGAGCGAAAGCGUGGGGAGCGAACAGGAUUAGAUACCCUGGUAGUCCACGCCGUAAACGGUGGGUACUAGGUGUGGGUUUCCUUCCUUGGGAUCCGUGCCGUAGCUAACGCAUUAAGUACCCCGCCUGGGGAGUACGGCCGCAAGGCUAAAACUCAAAAAAAUUGACGGA
rnacentral:rRNA from 1 species